CCUACGGGAGGCAGCAGUGAGGGAUAUUGGUCAAUGGGGGAAACCCUGAACCAGCAACGCCGCGUGAGGGAAGAAGGGUUUCGGAUUGUAAACUUCUGUCCUCAGGGACGAUAAUGACGGUAGCAGCGGAGGAAGCACCGGCUAAAUACGUGCCAGCAGCCGCGGUAAUACGUAGGGGGCAAGCGUUGUUCGGAUUUAUUGGGUGUAAAGGGUGAGUAGGCGGCCCUGCAAGUCAGAAGUGAAAUCCAUGGGCUUAACCCGUGAACUGCUUUUGAAACUAUCGAGCUAGAGUGAAGGAGAGGCAAGCGGAAUUCCCAGUGUAGCGGUGAAAUGCGUAGAGAUCAGGAAGAACACCAGUGGCGAAGGCGGCCUGCUGGGCUUUAACUGACGCUGAGGCACGAAAGCGUGGGUAGCAAACAGGAUUAGAUACCCUAGUAGUC
rnacentral:rRNA from 1 species